UCACUUACCUGGAUGGAGCUAGUGGCCGAUCAUGAAGGACUAUGACUUAGGCACGUGACUUCCAUUGCACGUGGGUAGGGUGCUUGCCUAAAGUCGGUCUGACAUGGGCAGAGUCUACAUCAUUAUUUGUGGCAGUGGGGGCUUGCGUACGCGCAGCCCCUUC